AAUGGGCGAAAGCCUGACGCAGCAAUACCGUGUGAGGGAAGACGCUUUGAGGAGUGUAAACCUCUGUCGGGAGGGACGAAUUUUGACGGUACCUCCAAAGAAGCACCGGCUAACUCUGUGCCAGCAGCCGCGGUAAUACAGAGGGUGCGAGCGUUGUCCGGAUUUAUUGGGCGUAAAGCGUUUGUAGGCGGUUUGCCAAGUCCGAAGUGAAAGAAUGAAGCUCAACUUCAUCCCCGCUUUGGAAACUGGCAGACUAGAGAAUGUUAGGGGUAAGUGGAAUUUCCAGUGUAGCGGUGAAAUGCGUAGAUAUUGGAAGGAACACCAGAGGCGAAGGCGACUUACUGGGACAUUUCUGACGCUGAGAAACGAAAGCUAGGGUAGCGAAUGGGAUU
rnacentral:rRNA from 1 species